GUCGAACGAACUCUGGUAUUGAUUGGUGCUUGCAUCAUGAUUUACAUUUGAGUGAGUGGCGAACUGGUGAGUAACACGUGGGAAACCUGCCCAGAAGCGGGGGAUAACACCUGGAAACAGAUGCUAAUACCGCAUAACAACUUGGACCGCAUGGUCCGAGCUUGAAAGAUGGCUUCGGCUAUCACUUUUGGAUGGUCCCGCGGCGUAUUAGCUAGAUGGUGGGGUAACGGCUCACCAUGGCAAUGAUACGUAGCCGACCUGAGAGGGUAAUCGGCCACAUUGGGACUGAGACACGGCCCAAACUCCUACGGGAGGCAGCAGUAGGGAAUCUUCCACAAUGGACGAAAGUCUGAUGGAGCAACGCCGCGUGAGUGAAGAAGGGUUUCGGCUCGUAAAACUCUGUUGUUAAAGAAGAACAUAUCUGAGAGUAACUGUUCAGGUAUUGACGGUAUUUAACCAGAAAGCCACGGCUAACUACGUGCCAGCAGCCGCGGUAAUACGUAGGUGGCAAGCGUUGUCCGGAUUUAUUGGGCGUAAAGCGAGCGCAGGCGGUUUUUUAAGUCUGAUGUGAAAGCCUUCGGCUCAACCGAAGAAGUGCAUCGGAAACUGGGAAACUUGAGUGCAGAAGAGGACAGUGGAACUCCAUGUGUAGCGGUGAAAUGCGUAGAUAUAUGGAAGAACACCAGUGGCGAAGGCGGCUGUCUGGUCUGUAACUGACGCUGAGGCUCGAAAGUAUGGGUAGCAAACAGGAUUAGAUACCCUGGUAGUCCAUACCGUAAACGAUGAAUGCUAAGUGUUGGAGGGUUUCCGCCCUUCAGUGCUGCAGCUAACGCAUUAAGCAUUCCGCCUGGGGAGUACGGCCGCAAGGCUGAAACUCAAAGGAAUUGACGGGGGCCCGCACAAGCGGUGGAGCAUGUGGUUUAAUUCGAAGCUACCCGAAGAACCUUACCAGGUCUUGACUACUAUGCAAUCUA
rnacentral:rRNA from 2 species